AUGAACAAGGGCAUGAUAUCAAAUGCUAAGAAGUUUAUCAAGCAAGCGCAUGAAAAGAAGGUGAAAUAUGAUUGUGCCGUGAGGAACUCCCUGGGUGUGGGUGAUGUCAUUCAGUUCUUGUAUGGAGAAUAUGGCAUGGAUGCUGUUUGGAUUGAACCACAGAAAUUGGACAACCUGAGGCUGAGUUUGACAAUAGUUUCAGAAAUUAGAAGCUGGCAGAUUACAUGGCCCAUGCCUGUCAACCUCAAGCGGCCUAUCUGGAAUGCUCAAAAGACUUUCAAGAUUGAUUUGAGAAGACCUUCUGACAUGCACCCGAUGGAAAUUGUGGAAGCAAUAGAUAAGUUGCAGGAAAGACACCUCUACACCAGGACUGACGAAGGGACGCAGCUUUGUCUCUAG
rnacentral:rRNA from 1 species